GCCGGGCAUGGUGGCGUAUGCCUGUAAUCCCAGCUACUUGGGGGCUGAGGUGGGAGAAUCGCUUGAAGCCAGGAGGCAGAGGUGGCAGUGAGCCGAGAUUGCACCAUUGUGCCCCAGCCUGGGUGACAGAGUGAGAUCCUGUCUCAA
rfam:Pan troglodytes isolate Yerkes chimp pedigree #C0471 (Clint) chromosome 19, whole genome shotgun sequence.